rnacentral:rRNA from 1 species
AGUGAACGCUGGCGGUAGGCCUAACACAUGCAAGUCGAACGGCAGCACAGUAAGAGCUUGCUCUUACGGGUGGCGAGUGGCGGACGGGUGAGGAAUACAUCGGAAUCUACUUUUUCGUGGGGGAUAACGUAGGGAAACUUACGCUAAUACCGCAUACGACCUACGGGUGAAAGCAGGGGAUCUUCGGACCUUGCGCGAUUGAAUGAGCCGAUGUCGGAUUAGCUAGUUGGCGGGGUAAGGGCCCACCAAGGCGACGAUCCGUAGCUGGUCUGAGAGGAUGAUCCGCCACACUGGAACUGGGACACGGUCCAGACUCCUACGGGAGGCAGCAGUGGGGAAUAUUGGACAAUGGGCGCAAGCCUGAUCCAGCCAUACCGGGUGGGUGAAGAAGGCCUUCGGGUUGUAAAGCCCUUUUGUUGGGAAAGAAAAGCAGCAGGUUAAUACCCCGCUGUUCUGACGGUACCCAAAGAAUAAGCACCGGCUAACUUCGUG